GACGAACGCUGGCGGCGCGCCUAACACAUGCAAGUCGAGCGAUGAAAUUUUAACCGAUCUCUUCGGAGAGAAGAUAAAAUGGAUUAGCGGCGGACGGGUGAGUAACACGUGAGAAACCUGCCUUUCACAAGGGGAUAGCCUCGGGAAACCGGGAUUAAUACCCUAUGACACAUUUCCUUCGCAUGGAAGAAAUGUUAAAACUCCGGUGGUGAAAGAUGGUCUCGCGCCUGAUUAGCUAGUUGGUGGGGUAACGGCCCACCAAGGCCAUGAUCAGUAACCGGCCUGAGAGGUUGAACGGUCACAUUGGAACUGGGACACGGUCCAAACUCCUACGGGAGGCAGCAGUGGGGAAUAUUGCACAAUGGAGGAAACUCUGAUGCAGCGACGCCGCGUGAGCGAUGAAGGCUUUCGAGUCGUAAAGCUCUGUCCUAUGGGAAGAUAAUGACGGUACCAUAGGAGGAAGCCCCGGCUAACUACGUG
rnacentral:rRNA from 1 species